GGGGAUGUAGCUCACUGGUAGAGCGCAUACUUUGCAUAUAUGAAGCACCGUGUUCAAACCCGGGAUAUCCA